CCUGGAGGCAGGGCGGCCGCUUCGGCUGGCAACAGUCGGAGAGGAACGUCCGGACAGCAUAGAGCAGGGUGCCCGGCGCAAGCCGGGGGCGGGCAACCGAUCGGAUAGGGCCACAGAGACGAGCCACGGCCUCGGGUAACCGAGGCGCGGUGGGUGAAACGCGGUAACCCCCACUCGCUGCAACCCCAAGUUGAGUCGAUGACGCUGCUCGCCGAGGCUCAGGUAGGGGGCACCGGCCCGUAAAGGGCCGGCGGGUCCACGGACCCGAGAUAGAUGGUCGCCUGAACCAGAAUCCGGCUUACUCGCCUCCAGGCGCC
rnacentral:RNase_P_RNA from 1 species